CCAUUUCAGGGUGGUCGCGAACCGUCAUAGCAUCACCGCGGCGACUAUGCUUCGCCCGUUUGAUCGAUGGUUCCGGCCAGAGGAAGGGCCAGAGUUGUCCAAAUUCCACCCAACCUCACUCUCUCCCGCCCGCUGUGGGCGGGGGUAGACUAGCACUCACGCCACUGGAAUAAUGUCUAACGGUCGUGGCGAGUUAGUUGGUUGGUUGCUGCUUGGAGGCGUGCGAUGAUGCGGGCAGAGAAUCCGCGCACGCUAUCUCCUUCUCCACCUCCUUCUUCCUCCCCGCCGUCUGUCACCAGAUGGUAACGAGAAACUUCGUGUGUACGCCAGUACCAAAAACCUUUUUAAACUGAUAAACUACGUCUUCCCGAUAUCGUCUCCCGAGGCAGAGACGGAGGAAGUCUUGAGAGUCGGCACAGACCGACGUAAACCAAAAAAUCACAACUCUUAACGGUGGAUCACUCGGCUCGUGGGUCGAUGAAGACCGCAGCAAGCUGCGUGUCGGUAUGUGAAUCGCAAGAAUACCAGAUACAUCGACAAGUCGAACGCACAUUGCGGCGGCAGCACUCUCAUGUGUUGCCGCCACUCCUACACGAGGGUCGGAUAUUACAUCCAAUACAUCGGCUUUGUCUCCACCGGCGCACCGCCCAAAUAAACUACCGCCACUGAUGUGUGCGUGUCAGUUAAAAAUGAGGGUGUUUGUGUGUCCGCGUGGUAGGCAUCGACCGCCUUGGGGAGUCUCGCCUAUCUGGACUAAACAUCCAGGCUGGCGUUCCCUUAAGACGUGCCGCCAAACGCAGUGUUACAACUACGGUAUUGGCGGCAAGGACCACUUUCACACACAGCGAGGAAAGCGGGCAGUAGUAGUAGUGCAUGUUGUUUCUGGGCCAGUGGGGUCAGUGUCCUUAUAUAGUACACGUAACGAACAACGCCGGACUCUUGCGCUGCUGCUGAUGCUGCUGCUGCUACCUCCUGUUGUAGUGUUUGUCGCCGUCCAUGCCUGUCUCGGAUCCCAACCCCCAUGCCUGGGUUGGGGCUCUGCUGCAUAAACUCUUAUCAACGCGUAGGGGCGUUAAGAGAAAGGCGACCGGGUCGGUUUUGUACCUCGGAUCGUAGUAAAACAGCAGUUGCCACAUGAUUGUUGCACACCAUCAAUCAAAGGAAGGGACCGAGCAAAAUGAAUU
rnacentral:rRNA from 1 species